rnacentral:rRNA from 1 species
UACGAAGGGGGCUAGCGUUGCUCGGAAUCACUGGGCGUAAAGGGUGCGUAGGCGGGUCUUUAAGUCAGAGGUGAAAUCCUGGAGCUCAACUCCAGAACUGCCUUUGAUACUGGAGAGCUUGAGUCCGGGAGAGGUGAGCGGAACUGCGAGUGUAGAGGUGAAAUUCGUAGAUAUUCGCAAGAACACCAGUGGCGAAGGCGGCUCACUGGCCCGGUACUGACGCUGAGGUGCGAAAGCGUGGGGAGCAAACAGG